rnacentral:rRNA from 1 species
GACGAACGCUGGCGGCGUGCCUAAUACAUGCAAGUAGAACGCUGAAGGAGGAGCUUGCUCUUCUGGAUGAGUUGCGAACGGGUGAGUAACGCGUAGGUAACCUGCCUGGUAGCGGGGGAUAACUAUUGGAAACGAUAGCUAAUACCGCAUAACAGUGGAUGUUGCAUGACAUUUGCUUAAAAGGUGCAAUUGCAUCACUACCAGAUGGACCUGCGUUGUAUUAGCUAGUUGGUGGGGUAACGGCUCACCAAGGCGACGAUACAUAGCCGACCUGAGAGGGUGAUCGGCCACACUGGGACUGAGACACGGCCCAGACUCCUACGGGAGGCAGCAGUAGGGAAUCUUCGGCAAUGGACGGAAGUCUGACCGAGCAACGCCGCGUGAGUGAAGAAGGUUUUCGGAUCGUAAAGCUCUGUUGUAAGAGAAGAACGAGUGUGAGAGUGGAAAGUUCACACUGUGACGGUAUCUUACCAGAAAGGGACGGCUAACUACGUG